AUGCCUCCUGCCCCCGCUGGCCAAGGUGACCACCACCCACGCAAGGUGCCCACGACUUCCCCAAGCCGCUCGCGCCACCCGCGCUCCCCCGCGGGGAGGGUUAGGGGAGCGCGGGGACCGCAAUGCCGGAGGCCGAGGACGCGGGGAUCGGCCAAGUGCCACUCCGCCCGAGGCCGAGGAGCACGUAAGCCACCCGGUCCCGAGUUCGCACCGGACGCGCCCACUCACCCUCCCCGUGGACCGCCCGAGGCUGGAAACGCACGACAAAAACGGAAACGGGCCUUCGACGCACGCUCCCGCUCCGUCUCACAGACUUCCGGCCGUUCUGGGCGGCUCGGAGGCUCGGCCGUCUCGGUGGUUCCCAGCGCAGCGGCCGGGGCGCGGGAGAAGGGGCGGGGCCAGAGAGUAGCGAAAGGCCUGGACCACGGGCGGGGCCCGGGAGGGGCGGGGCCAGAGUGGACGGAGGGGCGGGUCCGGGGGGGCUGUCUCACAGCCCCGGGAGGUGAAGGACACGCAGGCGGAAGGGCGGAGCGGAUCCCUGUGAAGCCGGUGGAAAGCCCGGGGGUCGCCCUGGCCGGGCCCCGCCUACCUCGGAUCACCUUUGGGGCACUGGUCCCCGCACCGCAUCUGUGCCUGGGCUUUUCUUACAGAAGGCUCCCGCUGGGCACGUUCCAGGCACCAGACAGCGGAGACCCCCGACCCGGGGCAGAGAGGGCACGGGGGAGCGGCCAGCUGGGGAGCGCUCCCACCCUGCGCCCCCGAGGCUCCGAACUCAGCUCUACCAGCCCCAUGCCCUCUCUGGUGACGCUCAGGGAGAAUCUGUGCAAAGGAUGCAUAAACGAGUGAAUGGAGGCGGGGAACAAUGCUUGCUGCCCAGCCGCCAUCCAGGUCCUAUUCCCCAACCACGCGGUUCCGGGAAGAAGCCUCGGUGCGCUGAGCACACUGGUGGUCCCGACCUACUGAGAGCCUUCCAGCUGGAGAGUCUUCACACUGCAGAAUCCAAAGCUGAGAGGGUCCCAGCCCCAGGCUGGUCUGCUCAAG
rnacentral:lncRNA from 1 species